GCACUGCUUUAGAGCCUCUGCGUGUCUGGCUGUGGCCUCAGGGGUCUAGCAGCAGUGCUAGAGCAGACCCAGCUUGUCAGAUCCGGGGCUGCUUUAGAGGCCACCUAAGCGAUUCCUUUGGCAGCAAGCAACAUUC
ensembl:snoRNA